rnacentral:rRNA from 1 species
AACGAACGCUGGCGGCAGGCCUAACACAUGCAAGUCGAACGAGAAGCCACCUUCGGGUGGUGGACAGUGGCAGACGGGUGAGUAACGCGUGGGAACGUGCCCUUCGGUUCGGAAUAACCCAGGGAAACUUGGGCUAAUACCGGAUACGCCCUCCGGGGGAAAGAUUCAUCGCCGAAAGAUCGGCCCGCGUCGGAUUAGCUAGUUGGUGAGGUAAUGGCUCACCAAGGCGACGAUCCGUAGCUGGUCUGAGAGGAUGACCAGCCACACUGGGACUGAGACACGGCCCAGACUCCUACGGGAGGCAGCAGUGGGGAAUAUUGGACAAUGGGCGCAAGCCUGAUCCAGCCAUGCCGCGUGGGUGAAGAAGGCCUUAGGGUUGUAAACCCCUUUCAGCGGGGAAGAUAAUGACGGUACCCGCAGAAGAAGUCCCGGCUAACUCCGUGCCAGCCGCCGCGGUAA